UGUCUCCUCCGAUUCCUCCAAGAAUUGGAUUUAGCCCGCCACCGCAAGGUGCGCGGGCUUUUUUUU
rnacentral:ncRNA from 1 species